AUAAAGUUUUAGCAAUAGGAAGCUUCCAGUCGGUGUGACCACACGUCCUGUUUGCUCAGGGCAGUCUCUGUUCUUGCCUCAGAUCCUUGCAUAAUUAUUAAUAAGAUUGCCUUUUGUUCUCAAAACUGUAGCAGUUUGGACACUAUUAUAUGGUCUCUUUAUAACAGCAAAACUGAAAUGUUUGUGAUAUGAUAAACAAUUAGUAAACACACUAGUUUCACACAUGGAUUUUGAAAUGUGAGUUGGAAGUGACAACACAAAAUUCAACACAUUUACAUCCACAGCUCAGAUCUACAGUGACGUCGGAAAGUUGACUGAAUGAGGAUUUCAGGAGAACACGGAGUAUAGAAUGAGAUAUUUGAAGAUGGAAGCCAAAAAGAUAACAUCCAUCUAGUCUAGAGGCCCACUCUCCAGCUGUCCACAGAGAAGAGGAAUGGGUGAUUCCCUUCAACUUCCGUGUGAAAUAUGUGGCCAACGGUAGAUCCCACCUGGGAAAGGGGAGGCUUCAGUCCCUGAGCUCAGACGCAUCAUGCAACUAUGAGAAGAUGUUUGUUAAAUCAAUUGCUAAAAAAAAAAAUGCACAGAAUCUGGCUAGCAGUAAGUAUCAUGUUCACCCACUCUCGUCCA
rnacentral:lncRNA from 1 species